AUUGAACGCUGGCGGCAUGCCUUACACAUGCAAGUCGAACGGUAACGCGGGGCAACCUGGCGACGAGUGGCGAACGGGUGAGUAACGCAUCGGAACGUGCCCAGUAGUGGGGGAUAGCCCGGCGAAAGCCGGAUUAAUACCGCAUACGACCUACGGGUGAAAGCGGGGGACCGAAAGGCCUCGCGCUUCUGGAGCGGCCGAUGUCAGAUUAGGUUGUUGGUGGGGUAAAGGCCUACCAAGCCUGCGAUCUGUAGCUGGUCUGAGAGGACGACCAGCCACACUGGGACUGAGACACGGCCCAGACUCCUACGGGAGGCAGCAGUGGGGAAUUUUGGACAAUGGGCGCAAGCCUGAUCCAGCCAUGCCGCGUGCGGGAAGAAGGCCUUCGGGUUGUAAACCGCUUUUGUCAGGGAAGAAAUAGCUUGGGCUAAUACCCCGAGU
rnacentral:rRNA from 1 species